AUACCUAAUAGGAUAAAAUAUAUAAUAUAUAGAUAGUAAAACACUUAUAUACCAUGGAUGAAAAUGGGUCAAAUCCAUGGUAUAUCAACUCCCCCAAACUUACCCUUUUGCUUGUCCUCAAGCAAAACAAACAGACAGUCUCUCUGAAAAAGGUUUGAAAACAGCAGGGACUCACAGAUUUAAAACAUAGAAAUCAUCACCUCUACAAUUUCGCAAACCACAUCUAAAACGUCCUAAUAACAAAAGCACAUUAUGCAAUAUCUUAGCUUAGCAACCAAAUUCAACUAGUCUACAACUCAGCAAAUCCUGUCUGACAUUCCCCUCUACUAACCUCAUUUCUUAGCAUAAAUAUAAAAGUGCAUGCUUUACCUUGGGAAUAUCGAUCACAGGAUGCAAGGAUUUUCAGACAAGUAUCUUGAACUGCAGGUAAAAGUUAGUUCCUAAUUUCUCUCUUGAGUCAAAGUCUGCUUCCAUUGCAGGAUCAGUGACCAAGAUUGGACAGGCUUCCAUGAAUCAAGACUUAAUGGUGGUUGCCACCAAGCCAUGUUCACUUCUGUUUGACCUAUAUCCAAGAAUUCUUUGUGAAGC
rnacentral:lncRNA from 1 species